CAAUUAAAGGUGUGCACCACCACGCUCGGCUCAUUUGCUGUUCUUGUAGAGGACCAGGAUUCAGGUCCCAGCAUCGCAUUGUGGUUCACAGAUAACAUUAACUCCAGUUCUUGGUGAUCUGACACCCUCCUGUGACCUCCAAAGCCACCAGGUACACAUUGGUGACCACAGAGGCAAGAAGAGGACAGUGGAUCACUUUGAAACGGACCAUAGUGAGCCAGCUGCAAUAUGAGUGCUCCAAAUCAAAUGCAGGCCUUCUGGAAGAGCCAUCAGUGUUCUUAACUGCUGACCCAGCUCUCCAGCCCUGCUGCUGACUUUUUACACGGAAAGCAAUAGUCCCUGAAAGAUCUAAUUGAUAAGCUGGAUUUCAUUGAAGCUAAAUUGUCUUUUCUGACUGGGUCUGGUGUCAGGGGGUUCUAAUUCCAGCUACUUAGAAGGCUGAGGCAGGAGGAUCAGAAUUUCAGGUCCUGCUUGAGCAACUUAGGGAGACCCUGUCUUGAAACAAAAAAAUGAAAAGAAGGCUGUGAUAUAGCUUGGUGGUAAAAAGAGGGGGCUUGCCUAGCAUUUGUAAAGCCCUAUGUUCAAUCUCGGUACUUCAGUAAAGAAGGCAAAACCCCUUCUG